UGGGAAGGCGUAGACAGAUAAUUACAGCAGCAGAACAUUUUAAGGCACUCAGGGUAACGGGGAAAGCAGUGACAAAACCAACUAAAGCUUCCUUUGACAUGGUAACAAGCCUUGUGGAUAGGAAGGAAGUGGCAGACAUGGUAUAUCUUGCCUUUAAUAAGGCUUCUGAUACUGUUUCACAUGACCUUCUCAUGAACAAAUUAGAGAAAUGCAACCUAGAUGGAGCUACUACAAGGGGUAAAGGCACAUUUGGCAAAUGUGAAUUGAGCUUUUAAACUGGCACCAGAAGAGGACAUUGGCUUAUUGCACAGGGACCAGUACAACUACAGAGAACUCUUGUGGAGGUAUGGUUAAUGCUAAUGAGGGAAGGAUGAAAGAGAAACAGAAAGAUGACCUUCUGAAGAUGGUUUAAUUCGAGUGCCACAAACCCUCCGAGAAACAUGAACUGCCUCUAUUGCUCUAAAACUGGUGUUAAUCCUGAUGCCUAAAAAUGAUCCCUCAAUGUCAAUGUUAUUUACUAUUUCAUCACUGGCAAAAACAGGUAAAAAAGAGGCUCCUCAGCUGGAUAAGGAGAAAGAAAAAGAAGGAAGAGAAAAUGAAUGAGACAGAGAGAAUGAAGAGGCAGAAGAAUCAGCAGAUUGUGGAUCAUUGUUUUUAAAAGCACUGUGAGGCUGCUACAUCCAGCAAGAUCAUUUGCUUAUCUCCAUAUCACUGCUAUCUUCUCCAGUCAGCAGCACAAAACUAAUUGAUUUGCUUGUUUUUUCUGCAUGUUUGUGCAUAUUUGUGAAGUUGAAAGAGGAGUGAAUGUAAAGGUACAGCUCUAAAAAUUACUGUGUGUGAGACAAACAGACUAAAAAACUCAGACAAUGGCCCUGAAGUCAGAAACGGUGUGCCAUAAUUUGUAUGCAUAUACCUCUGCAUGAUUACCAUGAAUGGGCACGCUGUUGCAGUAUUUGCAUACCCAAAUUAUGCAGGAUUAUUUUGCAUAUGUAUUUCCAAGUUUGCAAUUCUAAAAAUUUGCCUGUUAUUUGC